AUAAAAAAAAAUUAUAUGAAAUUUCAGGCGGAUCUGAUUUUUACUCUUUCUUUUUUUCGGAUCAGUAGAAGUAGAACUUACCAAGUUUUUGCAUAUGUAAAAAAAUUAUAUUUCUCUUAGAAUCACUGUCAUGGUCGUCGGUCACUGGCGGUGACGACGUUCACAGGAGAGGAUGAGUGGUUGGCAAAAGAAGAGAAUGUCGAUGAUUCAGUGGCGUCGAUCGAUUUAGACAUAAAUUUUGAAACCGAGGUUUCGAAGUUACGAGGUCAAUGGGAGUUGGCAUCGGUUUUGAACUUCUUGAAUAUUUUCGAGCCAGUAAUUGGGAAAAGCUUGAAGAUAUUGGCGGAAGUGAUUGAAAAGGGUUUAAUAGAGCCUGAGAGUUCAUUAGCUGAACUCCACAUUGCACUUUUGAAGGGCAUAUCACUUGUAAGUAAAAUGUUAAAUGGUUCUAAUACAUGGGUGAUUAUACUUAAUAAGAAGCUUGUCCCAUGGUGGCCUUGGGUGUAUAAAUUUCAGGUUGUUGAAGGGGAGAUCCUAAUAAAGGCUUUUAAAGGAGAGGAGAUAUCAAAUUACAAGAAACUUGAUCCUACAAGACACUUGCUGCUUCAAGCUCUAUGUGAAAUUCGAGCAGAUGGACUACUUUGCAUCUUUCUUCAGUUUCACUGCAUACUUUAUGACCCUUCAUUAUUCUUAUUACCAUCAUGUUUCAGAUCUUCGAUUAACAUUAUCUAAUUUUAUUUGGUCCAUGUUUCUUAUUAAAUGAAUUUGAGUGAACUAUUUUGGAUUUUUUUUCCUAAUAAAAGAUUUUGUUCCGUAGAUUUUUAUGGCCCUUAUGUUUUUCUCUUUAUUCAUCUAACACAUGUCAUAAUAUUUCACACUAAGAGGUCUUUAUCAACCAAAAAGAUAGAUUUGGUGGAGAUGGAAAUAUAAUUUCUUAUCGGUAAUUUCUUGAAGUUAGUUGUCUACAUCAAAUUUCUGAAAUCUGAUUAUCAAUUGUAUUGGUAAUUCUUACUGUGAUUUUAGGUAUGAUGGGAAUCCAUUUGUUGGUUAUAGACUAUAAGGGAAGUUAUCAAAUGUGAUACAAAGAUAAAAGGUAAUCAGAAGGGAAGUAUGGCCCUUCCAAUGUUUAGCACUCAAUGGGAAACAAUGGCUACAAAUCUCGAGGAAUUUCAUAAAGUUAAAGACAACUUUUUAUGCAGAAAAAUCACCUGUGAAGUUGCUGUUGGAAGGAAAAUUGAAUCUGAUGCCAUUCAAGUGGAUAUAAAGCUUCUGCUUUGUAUGCUGCAAAAGAAGGAGAAGUCAUUGAAACGCAAGCAUAGGGAGGACAAGCUCUUGAAUGACUUUAACAAGUCCUGUAUAAUUGGAGUUACACGCACUUGUUACAUUCAUGCACCCGUGAACUAUACAUUCGAUGUAGAAUAAAGUUCCCUUUACUUU